rnacentral:rRNA from 1 species
CCUACGGGAGGCUGCAGUGGGGAAUAUUGGGCAAUGGGCGCAAGCCUGACCCAGCAACGCCGCGUGAAGGAAGAAGGCUUUCGGGUUGUAAACUUCUUUUCUCAGGGACGAAGCAAGUGACGGUACCUGAGGAAUAAGCCACGGCUAACUACGUGCAAGCAGCCGCGGUCAUACGUAAGUGGCAAGCGUUAUCCGGAUUUCCUGGGUGUAAAGGGCGUGUAGGCGGGACUGCAAGUCAGAUGUGAAAACCACGGGCUCAACCUGUGGCCUGCAUUUGAAACUGUAGUUCUUGAGUACUGGAGAGGCAGACGGAAUUCCUAGUGUAGCGGUGAAAUGCGUAGAUAUUAGGAGGAACACCAGUGGCGAAGGCGGUCUGCUGGACAGCAACUGACGCUGAGGCGCGAAAGCGUGGGGAGCAAACAGGAUUAGAUACCCUAGUAGUC